UAUACAUCUGCAACCUAUAGUUAAAAAAACCAAAUCGUAUAUUAAAGACACCAUGAUGAUGUUAAAUCUUUUAAGUGAAUGCAGAUGGAACAACAACUGUUUUUUGGUAACCUGCGAUGUAGCUGCCUUGUAUAGUAAUAUACCACACGAGUACGGUUAUGAAGCAACGAAACAUUUUAUAGAAAAUCAUUCAGACCUUACC